GUGGCUCAGUGGUAGAGUGCUUGCCUUGCAUGCAAGAGGUCCUGAGUUUGAUUUCUCAGC
rnacentral:tRNA from 1 species